rnacentral:lncRNA from 1 species
CAGCCUCCACAUGCUCUCGGCCACGGCAGGAUUUCGGCUAUGGAUAUGGAAGGACUCGAUCCAAAACACUCUCCAGCAGCUCCAGCAGCUAGGCAAGAACAACACCUCCAAAGUCAGGCAAGCUUCAUGUGAAAACUCUCUAGGAAUCGCUGACAGUGAAAACUCGAGCAUAAGUUAUCUCCAGCAGCUAGGCAAGAACAGCACCUCCAAAGUCAGGCAAGCUCCAUCUGAAAACUCUCUAGGAAUCUCUGACAGUGAAAACUCGAGCAUAAGUUCUCUAGCAGCGAGCUCCUCAGGCCAGGAAAUCCCGGACAGUGGCUGCCUCGUGAUGCCGCCAUUCUCCCCUUACUCGGCCACAGUUCCAUGGCACACUGGAACCCGAGCUAUUCUUUCGCAGAUCUUUCCAAAGUAUGGGAACUACUGCGGACCAAACUGGUCGAGCGGUCGACAAAAAGGAUCACUGGUUUGGGACGUACCUCCGGUGGACUGGCUGGAUUACUGCUGCUUCAAGCACGACGUUGGCUACGACAGCCAUAGCCAGGAAGAUCUCUACAAGGCCGACUUGGAGCUUUUGGAGUGUUUGCGAAGGAUGCC